ACGACUCUCGGCAACGGAUAUCUUGGCUCUCGCAUCGAUGAAGAACGUAGCGAAAUGCGAUACCUGGUGUGAAUUGCAGAAUCCCGCGAACCAUCGAGUCUUCGAACGCAAGUUGCGCCCGAGGCCACUCGGCCGAGGGCACGCCUGCCUGGGCGUCACGC
rnacentral:rRNA from 1 species